UCUCCCUGACAGCCCUGUCUUCCCCGGGACCUGGAUCCACGGGGCUCCAGCCCAGGCUGCCCAGCUCCCACACCCCUGCCGGCGGAUGCGGGGGGGCUGCGGAGAUGUAAGAGAAGCAAGCACAGGGUCAAGCAUGGUGUAAACACAUGAAUAUAUGCUUUGGCAGUGGGUUGGCUGAGAAAGCCUGAGCUGCCUUUACCUGCUCCUUGCUGAAGGACAGGAUCCAUCCCAAGGUGUGGCGAUGGCUGGUGCCCCAUCCGCCCUGCUGCCUCCCACCUGCGCUGUAUUUUACGUCGCAAAGCAUUAAUUAUUGCUGUAACAAGCAUUCCUGACCUCAUGCUCUAGCAGCAGACAAAGCAAAAGGCAGUUGGGCAUUCACGUUGACUAAGUGGCAGCUGCAAUUAACGUACCUCUGCGUAAUUACAGCGUGGCACCUGGCCGUGUCUGUGAGGCUUGAGCAGAAGCCAGGCUGUGUGGGAGGAGGGUUUCCCCAGAGGCCCUGGUGAGCGCAGGGCUGGGCGGUGGAUGGAUUACAGCUGUGUGUGCGUGUUUAAAAAUAACCCUCUAACUUUGCAGAGGAAUGUAUUUGUUAUGGAGCCACUGAAAGGCCGGGGUAAGAGACCCGGGAGCAAGCAGCUGCUGGGAGCGAGCCAGGAGACGGCUCCUGGGCACGAUGCUCCCCGGGAAGGCGGACUUGGGCUGCCGAGCAAGGAACCUGCUCCUGUUUGUUUGCUCUCUGUGUUCAGGGAAACAAGACUUUGUGUAUGGUUUGUGGGAUAAAUAAACACCAGUGCACCGAGGAAAUGCUUUGCUCAUCACCAGUUGUGUUGUAGUGGAAACAACCUGGCAAGACCCCACAUGUUGGCUAAUCCUCGGGCCAGAUGGAGGGUGGCUGCUCCAGAAGCAGCGCUGGUGGAAGAGGCGAGACCAAACAUGUUCCCACCACCACGGAGGUUUCCUGGCGUCACUUCACAAACACCCCCACCCAGCAGCGCCCCGUCAACAGAAAACAGCUUUCCACUUCAGCAGUGCUAAAGUAAGUCUCUCAUUCGCUUUGAGGCUGGGAUGGAAGCUGAGUUACUCCAAGCAAUGUGUGGCAGCGAACAGAUCCCAGUGGCACUGGGUUUCUGCU